rnacentral:tRNA from 1 species
GGGCCGUUAGCUCAAUGGAUAGAGCAGAGGAUUUCUACUCCUCAGACGUGGGUUCGACUCCUACACGGCCUG